GAUGAACGCUGGCGGCGUGCCUAAUACAUGCAAGUCGAGCGAACGGACGAGAAGCUUGCUUUUCUGAUGUUAGCGGCGGACGGGUGAGUAACACGUGGAUAACCUACCUAUAAGACUGGGAUAACUUCGGGAAACCGGAGCUAAUACCGGAUAAUAUUUUGAACCGCAUGGUUCAAAAGUGAAAGACGGUCUUGCUGUCACUUAUAGAUGGAUCCGCGCUGCAUUAGCUAGUUGGUAAGGUAACGGCUUACCAAGGCAACGAUGCAUAGCCGACCUGAGAGGGUGAUCGGCCACACUGGAACUGGGACACGGUCCAGACUCCUACGGGAGGCAGCAGUAGGGAAUCUUCCGCAAUGGGCGAAAGCCUGACGGAGCAACGCCGCGUGAGUGAUGAAGGUCUUCGGAUCGUAAAACUCUGUUAUUAGGGAAGAACAGAUGUGUAAGUAACUGUGCACAUCGUGACGGUACCUAAUCAGAAAGCCACGGCUAACUACGUG
rnacentral:rRNA from 1 species